CCCAAUGCGUGGGAAAAGGGAUGGAAAGGAGCUCAGGUUCCCUCAUUUAGUUUUCAACCCUAAGCAAAUACGCUUUCUCCCUCUCUCACAUCUCCCUUCGCUAAAAAUUGCUUUGCCGCACCGGAGGCGCUGGGGCCAGCCAGAACCAAAUAUAACCACCACCAACGGACUUGUUUUUUCAUCCUCCCUCUAUUUCUCAACCUCUUAUCGCCUAAAAGUAAAUCCAUAUCCUUAAUUUGAAUUGCAACCUCAAGAACCGUAGAAUACACAAACUAAAAUUAAAUGACCUGGAAUGGGAAUCAAAGCUAGAGACUUUGGGGCUUUGAUUCCCCACUACAAUGUCCUUAUCCUAGUAACAAAAUUGAUGCGAAAUAAGGAAGAAUUGAAAGAACAAUCCUACCUAAAGGGCGGAGAAGUGCCCUGGGAAGUGUUGAAUGCUUGAAGAAGGAGAUGAAGACAAGAAUACCAGAGGAUGCGAACCAAGGUUGGUUGUAAGGUUGGGUAGGGUGAACCAAUCUUGGUUUGGCAUGGCAUAAUCAAGGUUUGGCAUCAUGGUGGAGGCUUGGUAUGGAAAUGAAUCAUGAAGAGAUUUUGGAGCACUUGAAGAACUUGGAGGUACAAAAAUGGAAGACCUUGAGGAUGAAGAGAAAAGCAUUAGGGCUUAGGAUAAGUUUGACUUUGGUCAAUUGUUUGACUAAAAGUCAACCUUAGGUCAAAAAAGUGUUUUUUUGUGUAAUUUGUAAUUUUGGAUUUUGUAAUGUGAUUUUAUGAUUUUGUAAUGUAAUCUUGGCCCUUGAAUGGUA